AAUCAACGCUGGCGGCGUGCCUAACACAUGCAAGUCGCACGAGAAAGGGGAGCAAUCCCUGAGUAAAGUGGCGCACGGGUGAGUAACACGUGAAUCAUCUACCUCCGAGUGGGGAAUAACUGAGAGAAAUCUUAGCUAAUACCGCAUAACACUUACGAGUCAAAGCAGCAAUGCGCUUGGAGAGGAGUUCGCGGCCGAUUAGUUAGUUGGCGGGGUAAUGGCCCACCAAGACGAUGAUCGGUAUCCGGCCUGAGAGGGCGCACGGACACACUGGAACUGAAACACGGUCCAGACUCCUACGGGAGGCAGCAGUGGGGAAUUUUGCGCAAUGGGGAAACCCUGACGCAGCAACGCCGCGUGGAGGAUGAAGUAUCUUGGUACGUAAACUCCUUUCGAUUGGGAAGAUAAUGACGGUACCAAUAGAAGAAGCCCCGGCUAACUUCGUGCCAGCAGCCGCGGUAAG
rnacentral:rRNA from 1 species